rnacentral:rRNA from 1 species
AUGGCCGGCAGCCGGCGCGACGGUUCUUCGAUGCGGCCCAAGUACUGCCACCGCAGAGGAGCUUCUCCGGUAGCGCGGCAGUUGGAGAUGCCCUCAGCCAAUAUAUAUAGAACAGAUUCAGCACUGUGUAUGCUUGUCGUCAAUUCUGAUGGGAGCACUGGUAGCCACAACCGAGGCAUCGUCAUCAUCGGAUGGCGAUGUCGGGGUGGACUUAGAUAUACCAGAUCCGCUCGCUGCCGAGUCGGGCGACAUGGAGGCCUCAGAUGGGUCGGGGUCUACCUCGAGCAACACUUCCAAGAGGAAGAAAUCCGGGCGUGGUCCGGGGAAGGUCCCGGAACCAACUGCUGCCAGCAACCGUCCUGUCAUUUGCCCGACAGGAGAGGGGAGCAUUACCUGCACAACAAGGAUGAGCACGAUGUCACCAUGGCCACUCGGGUCAUCAAUGCUUUUUUUGAAACAUUUGCUUGCGUGGAUGGUGAGAAGCAGAAGGCGAUCAAAGGCAUCGUGAAAUCUGCCCGAAAGAUACUCUCUGACCUCAAGCACACGCUGCGGUACAAAGCUGUGAUGAAGUGUCGGCCGCUCGAUGAGAAGGGAGAGAAGAUGACAAGGAAGACUGCUUGCCAGACCAACAUGUCGCGAGAAGAAUACCUGUCAGUGUUGAAGGAACCCUGGAUAAAGGAUGAUUGUUGGGAGGCCUUGGUUGACAUGUGGUGUAACCCAGCAUGGCAGGCGCAACAUGUGGAGAAGGGAAACGAUCGAGCCAAAAUGACAGGCCCGACUCAUGAGGCGAAGGAGGGUCACCCGGUCCACAUCCUGGAAGCCUGUAGAGAAGUCCACAAGGGGAAGGAUGGCGCCGAGUUCUGCAGUGAGUCGGCGGAGGAGAAGUGGGGGGCCUUCAAAGAGGUCUUCCAGGAGGGGAAGGGCCAUGGCCGCCACCUCCUUUGCAACGGGGCGAUCGCCACCUCCGGGCAUCGCAAGCUGCACGAGAUACGCACGUCGAGCACCAGCUCAACUCCGUCCAUACGGAGUCGCCCAACCGCCGCAUCACGUGAGAUAGCGCGUCUCAAGGAGCAAAGGCGGCAGGCUGAGAAGGACUCCAGAGAAAAGGAACGGGAAGACACGAACAAGAGGUUGAAGCUGCUUGAGGAUAAACUAGAGCUCUCGGAAAAGAAGGCGAGCAAUGCCGAGACUAGCUCUCGGCAAAGCUAUGUAAACUGUCAGCUCCCAUGUGGGCCACGUUGUCCUACUGGUCAGAAGGAUUGCCGAGAGCUGCUCUCGGCAAAGAUAUCGUCAUUUUUUUCAAAAAAUGCUCAGCAGAACAGGAUGAAGUCCCUGAUAGAAACGGCCACUGUUGACUUGUGCAGCAGCAGCAGUCUCAUAGGCCUCUACGACUUCAUUGUCAAGAGCCCUAUUUGGGGGAAUUCAGAGUCCUUUCUGGGUGAUUAUCUGGGAUCUGAUUCUGACUACGAGCCUGGCUCGGAAGAUUACGACAACUACUGCGAUCCUUCCGGCUACCUUGAUGGCGUGUACGAGGACGAGCUUGAUGAUGAAGCGAGGAUGCUUCUCAGGGGCAUGCCUAGGCGGGCCUGUGCUUUGCCGCUUCUAUCAGUGUCGUGGAUCUGCUUCUGCGUCGGCUCGUCCUACAAUAUCGCAGGCUCCGUUUCGUGCUUUGUCCAGCCAUCUACGAGUACUUCUAGUGAAACAUGUCGUGUUGGGAGCCCUUUUACCUCUGCAGUUUGGUUACAAGUCAAUGUGAAAUAUGAUGUGUGCUGUAUUCGUGCACCCAUUUUUGGCCGCGUUGCUGCUGCUUCGAGCUCGUACCUCUGCCCGGCGACUUGGGUGACGCGCCGGCGUCGUUUGCUGCAGCCCUUGCCGUGCCGGAGAUUUGUGCUUCCCGGCGGCAGCUGCCUAGCCUCAGUUCUGAUUGCCUUCAGUAUGGACCCACUCAUGCAAUAA